GCGGGCCGCACAAGCGGUGGAGCAUGUGGUUUUAAUUCGAUGCAACGCGAAGAACCUUACCCGGGCUUGACACGUCCCGGGAACUCCCUAGGAACGAGGGAGUGCCCUUCGGGGAACCCGGUGACAGGUGCUGCAUGGCUGUCGUCAGCUCGUGUCGUGAGAUGUUGGGUUAAGUCCCGCAACGAGCGCAACCCUUGUCUUUAAUUGCCAUCAUUUAGUUGGGCACUUUAAAGAGACUGCCGGUGUUAAGCCGGAGAAGGUGGGGAUGACGUCAAGUCCUCAUGGCCUUUAUGCCCAGGGCUACACACGUGCUACAAUGGGCGGUACAAAGGGCAGCCACUUAGCGAUAAGGAGCCAAUCCCGUAAAGCCGGUCUCAGUCCGGAUUGGAGUCUGCAACUCGACUCCAUGAAGUUGGAAUCGCUAGUAAUCGCAGAUCAGCACGCUGCGGUGAAUACGUUCCCGGGCCUU
rnacentral:rRNA from 1 species